GAGUUUGAUCCUAGCUCAGGAUUAACGCUUGUGAUAUGCUUAACACAUGCAAGUUAAAUUUUUUUAUGGUAAAAAUUAUUUAAAAAUAAAUAAUAAUUUAGCGUACGGGUGAGUAAUAUAUAAGAAUUUACUUUUAUAAUUUAAUUAAUAUUAAAUAUAAUGUUGAAAAUCAAAAAAAAAAAUUUAUAAAAAUAAGCUUAUAUUUGAUUAGUUAGUUGGUAAAAUAAAAGUUUACCAAGACAAUGAUCAAUAGUUGAUCUUAUCGGAUAAUCAACCACACUGAGAUUGAGAUACAGCUCAGAUUCUUUUUUAGAAGCAGCAGUGGGGAAUUUUUCGCAAUAAGCAAAAGCUUGACGAAUCAAUAUCGCGUGAAGGAAAAAGGCUUUUUUUAGUCAUAAACUUCUUUUUUUUAAGAAAAAAAAUAUGAUUAUUAUUUUAAGAAUAAGCAUCGGCUAAUUCUGUGCCAGCAGCCGCGGUAAUACAGGAGAUGCUAGUGUUAUCCAAAAUUAUUGGGCAUAAAAAGUUUUUAGAUUAUUUUUAUAAUUUAUUAUAAAAUUAUAAGAUUUAAUCUUAUAUAAUUAAUAAAAAUUAAAUUAUUAGAGUUUUUAAUUUAAGGGUAGAAGGAAUUUUUAGUGUAACAGUUAAAUGUGUUGAUAUUAAAAAGAACACCAAAGGCAAAAGCAUUCUACUUAAAAUAUACUGACUUUUAUAAACGAAAGCUAUAGUAGCAAACGGGAUUAGAUACCCCAUUAGUUUUAGCUGUAAAUUAUGAAUAUUAAAAAAAAUAUUAUUAUUUUUUUAUAGUAAAUACGUUAAAUAUUCUGCCUGAAAAUUAUAUUUGCAAAAAUUAAAUUCAAAGGAAUUGACGGGGACUUACAAAAGUGAUGGAGCAUGUGGUUUAAUUCGAUGCAAAACGAAAAAUCUUACCAAAAUUAUUAUAAAAAAUAAUAUAUUAAUAUAUAAUAAAUAAAAUAUUAUUUAUUAUAUAUUAAGGUGGUGCAUGGCUGUCAAAAGUUCGUGUCGUAAGAUGUUAAAAAAAAUUUAUAACGAACAAAACCCUAAUAUUUUAUUGCUAUAAUUUAUAAUAUUUUUUUAUAUUUUUAUAGUACUUUUAAUAAAAAAAAAGGAUUACGUCAAGUCAUCAUGCCCCUUUAUAUUUUGGGCUACACACAUGCUACAAUGGAUAAAUAACAAAAAAUUUAAAUUUAAUAAUAAUAAAUAAUUUAUUAAAUAUAAAAUUAUCCAAAAUUCGAAUUAUAAAUUGUAAAUCAUUUAUAUGAAGUUGGAAUCACUAGUAAUCACAGGUAAGAUAUACUGUGGUGAAUAUAAUUAUAAGUCUUGUACAUACCGCCCGUCACAUUUUGGAAAUUUUUUUAAUAAAAAUUUUAAAAUUAAAAUUAAAAAAUAAAUAAUAACUAAAAUGAAGUCGUAACAAGGUAGUUGUACUGGAAAGUGUGGCUAGAAUACCUCCAUU
rnacentral:rRNA from 1 species